rnacentral:rRNA from 1 species
UACGUAGGGACCAAGCGUUGUCCGGAAUCAUUGGGCGUAAAGCGCGCGUAGGUGGCUUCGUAAGUCCGUUGUGAAAGUCAAAGGCUCAACCUUUGAAAGCCGAUGGAUACUGCGGAGCUAGAGUACGGAAGAGGCGAGUGGAAUUCCUGGUGUAGCGGUGAAAUGCGUAGAUAUCGGGAGGAACACCGGUGGCGAAGGCGGCCCCCUGGAUUG